AGACAACCAGUCAACCAACAAGUGGGUUAGCUAGCCAUUCAACAAGAAAGCCAACCACCCAUCAAGCAAGUCAACCAGCCAUAAAAGCAGCCACUAAGGUAGCCAACUGAAACAUCUACUUCAGCUUCAAGCAGACCACCAUCAUCUGUAGCAGAUCCAGCAAGUAAAGCACCCACAACUCAAUGGUUCCAGCCCAUCUCUUGUACUCCUAAGGAAACAUGGGACACAAGAAAACCUCUAUCUCAGUCUCGAAGGGGGUUGGUACCACCAAGGGUAGUUGGGAGCAGUCAUCUGUUCUCAUAUGGGAGAGGAGGUGGAAUAAGAGCUGAGGCAUCUGGUGCAAUGUUCUCAACAGGCAGGGGCAAAGGCAAGGACAAGGUAUUUGGGAAAUGAAGAUUGGAGAAUGUGGAAGCAGAAAUUUUACUUUACUUUACUUUUUUUUGU